UACGAAGGGGGCUAGCGUUGCUUGGAAUCACUGGGCGUAAAGCGCACGUAGGCGGAUUGCUAAGUCAGGGGUGAAAUCCUGGAGCUCAACUCCAGAACUGCCUUUGAUACUGGCGAUCUUGAGUCCGGGAGAGGUGAGUGGAACUCCGAGUGUAGAGGUGAAAUUCGUAGAUAUUCGGAAGAACACCAGUGGCGAAGGCGGCUCACUGGCCCGGUACUGACGCUGAGGUGCGAAAGCGUGGGGAGCAAACAGG
rnacentral:rRNA from 1 species